GAUGAAGAACGCAGCGAAAUGCGAUACUUGGUGUGAAUUGCAGAAUCCCGUGAACCAUCGAGUCUUUGAACGCAAGUUGCGCCGGAAGCCAGUAGGCCGAGGGCACGCCUGCCUGGGCGUCACACGUCGUUGCCCCCCCAUCUACUCCUUCGGGGUUGCGGGGGGCGGAUGAUGGCCUCUCGUGCGCCUCGUCGCGCGGUUGGCCUAAAUGCCAAGUCCUCGGCGACGCACGCCACGACAAUCGGUGGUUGCGAAACCUCGGUUGCCGGUCGUGUGCGGUCGUCGCGCAUCGAGGGCUCGAAAAAAUUGCCGGGCUUCGGCUCGACUUUCAACGCGGCCCCAGGUCAGGCGGGGUUACCCGCUGAAUUUAAGCAUAUCAAUAAGCGGAGGA
rnacentral:misc_RNA from 1 species